GACAGAGGUGCCGAGCGUUAGGCGGAAUCACUGGGCUUAAAGCGUGUGUAGGCGGGCCGUUAAGUGUCUUGUGAAAUCCCCCGGCUCAACCGGGGAAUUGCUGGGCAUACUGGCGGUCUUGAGCAGUUCAGGGGCAGAUGGAACAAGUGGUGGAGCGGUGAAAUGCGUAGAUAUCAUUUGGAACGCCAAUGGUGAAAACAGCUCGCUGGGGGUGCACUGACACUGAGACACGAAAGCCAGGGGAGCGAACGGG
rnacentral:rRNA from 1 species